AGAGUUUGAUCCUGGCUCAGAACGAACGCUGGCGGCGCGUCUUAAGCAUGCAAGUCGAGCGGCAAGGAGGAGCAAUCCUCCCUAGAGCGGCGGACUGGUGAGUAACGCGUGGGUGACCUACCCUUGGGUUGGGGAUAGCCGUUAGAAAUAGCGGGUAAUACCGAAUACGAUGGAUACGCUGUGGCGUAUCCAGGAAAGGAGCUACGGCUCCGCCCGGGGAUGGGCCCGCGUCCUAUUAGGUAGUUGGUGGGGUAAAGGCCUACCAAGCCCGAGAUAGGUAGCCGGCCUGAGAGGGUGAACGGCCACACUGGGACUGAGAUACGGCCCAGACUCCUACGGGAGGCAGCAGCUAAGAAUAUUCCGCAAUGGACGAAAGUCUGACGGAGCGACGCCGCGUGAAUGAAGAAGGCCGAAAGGUUGUAAAAUUCUUUUAUUGCGGAGGAAUAAGCGUGGGAGGGAAUGCCCGCGUGAUGACGCUAAGCAAUGAAUAAGCCCCGGCUAAUUACGUGCCAGCAGCCGCGGUAACACGUAAGGGGCGAGCGUUGUUCGGAAUUAUUGGGCGUAAAGGGCGCGUAGGCGGUUGCUUAAGUCUGAUGUGAAAGGCAGGAGCUUAACUCCUGGAUUGCAUUGGAAACUGGGAAACUAGAGUCAUGGAGGGGGAGUUGGAAUUCCUGGUGGAGGGGUGAAAUCUGUAGAUAUCAGGAAGAACACCGGUGGCGAAGGCGAACUUCUAGCCAAUGACUGACGCUGAGGCGCGAAAGUGCGGGGAGCAAACAGGAUUAGAUACCCUGGUAGUCCGCACUAUAAACGAUGCACACUAGGUGUUGGGCCGAGCGGCUCAGUGCCGAAGCGAACGUGAUAAGUGUACCGCCUGGGGAGUAUGCCCGCAAGGGUGAAACUCAAAGGAAUUGACGG
rnacentral:rRNA from 1 species